rnacentral:rRNA from 1 species
GAGCGAGAAAACGUAGCAACACGUUUGUAAAGCGGCGAACGGGUGAGGAAUACAUGGGUAACCUACCCUCGAGUGGGGAAUAACUAGCCGAAAGGUUAGCUAAUACCGCAUACGGCUCCUGGUCUGCGGAUCAGGAGAGAAAGCGAUACCAUGGGUAUCGCGCUCUUGGAUGGGCUCAUGUCCUAUCAGCUUGUUGGUGAGGUAAUGGCUCACCAAGGCUUCGACGGGUAGCUGGUCUGAGAGGACGAUCAGCCACACUGGCACUGCGACACGGGCCAGACUCCUACGGGAGGCAGCAGUAAGGAAUAUUGCGCAAUGGGCGACAGCCUGACGCAGCGACGCCGCGUGUGGGAUGAAGGCCUUCGGGUCGUAAACCACUGUCAGUGGGAAAGAAGGGCGUCGGCGCGAUAACCGCCGGCGUCUGACGGUACCCGCAGAGGAAGCCCCGGCCAACUCUGUGCCAGCAGCCGCGGUAAGACAGAGGGGGCAAGCGUUGCUCGGAAUUACUGGGCGUAAAGGGCGCGUAGGCGGGACAGCAAGUCGGUUGUGAAAUCCUUCGGCUCAACCGAAGAACGGCGAUCGAUACUGCUGUUCUUGAGGAUUGCAGAGGAGACUGGAAU